GUGGAAGUAGCGGUGAUGUCAGGCUCCCGGACUUGUGUAUUCAACCCGGACUUCUGGGAGCCACCACCAUCAACUAAGGACAAUUUGUAAACGAGGUCCAUCUGCUCCCUCCUGUAUUAGUUCUGAUGUGGGCUAUUAUUUUCAAGACUACUGCUGAGAUGGUGAGCGUGGGAUGGAACUAGGGGGCGGCCUGGGGCGGGCAUCUGCCAGGCGAGGGAGCUGCCCUGCCGCCGAGAUUGUGGGGAAACGGCGUGGAAGACACCCCAUCGGAGGGCACCCAAUCUGCCUCUGCACUCGAUUCCAUCCUGCAACCCAGGAGAAACCAUUUCCGAGUUCCAGCCGCAGAGGCACCCGCGGAGUUGCCAAAAGAGACUCCCGCGAGGUCGCUCGGAACCUUGACCCUGACACCUGGACGCGAGGUCUUUCAGGACCAGUCUCGGCUCGGUAGCCUGGUCCCCGACCACCGCGACCAGGAGUUCCUUCUUCCCUUCCUGCUCACCAGCCGGCCGCCGGCAGCGGCUCCAGGAAGGAGCACCAACCCGCGCUGGGGGCGGAGGUUCAGGCGGCAGGAAUGGAGAGGCUGAUCCUCCUCUAGCCCCGGCGCAUUCACUUAGGUCAGGACAGCAGCUUGGUCUUCCCAGGUGAGGAACUGAGGACUGGCCUGCAUAGAUUUGUGCAGUAGCGAGGGCCGAGGUAGGGGCAGAUAGAUCACCAGACAGGCGGAGAAGGACAGGAGUACAGAUGGAGGGACCAGGACACAGAAUGCAAAAGACUGGCAGAAGCAGGUUUGCGAGCUCGAAUACCUUUGCUCCACUGCCACACGCAGCACCGGGACUGGGCGUCUGGAGCUUAAGUCUGGGGGUCUGAGCCUGGGACCGGCAAAUCCGCGCAGCGCAUCGCGCCCAGUCUCGGAGACUGCAACCACCGCCAAGGAGUACGCGCGGCAGGAAACUUCUGCGGCCCAAUUUCUUCCCCAGCUUUGGCAUCUCCGAAGGCACGUACCCGCCCUCGGCACAAGCUCUCUCGUCUUCCACUUCGACCUCGAGGUGGAGAAAGAGGCUGGCAAGGGCUGUGCGCGUCGCUGGUGUGGGGAGGGCAGCAGGCUGCCCCUCCCCGCUUCUGCAGCGAGUUUUCCCAGCCAGGAAAAGGGAGGGAGCUGUUUCAGGAAUUUCAGUGCCUUCACCUAGCGACUGACACAAGUCGUGUGUAUAGGAAGGCGUCUGGCUGUUUCGGGACUCACCAGAGAGCAUCGCCAACCAGAACGGCCCACCCGGGGUGUCGAGUCUUGGUAGGGAAAUCAGACACAGCUGCACUCCCGGCCCGCGGGCCUUGUGGCAUAUAACCAUUUAUAUAUUUAUGAUUUC
rnacentral:lncRNA from 1 species